UGCAGCCGCGGUAACUCCAGCUCCAGAAGCGUAUAUUAAAGUUGUUGCAGUUAAAAAGCUCGUAGUUGGAUCUGGGUCGCAUGGCUACAUGCUGUUGCUUGUUCACAGGGCUUUGGUCUUGCGUGCGAGCCGGCGUCGUGGUUGUGCAGCCUUUCUGCCGUGUCUGUUUCGACAGGUGCUGAAUCAAUUGGUGAAAGCUGAUUGCUCGGCAUGCUUCCAGAUGCCUUUAACCGGGUGUCGGGGGCGGACGGCACGUUUACUUUGAACAAAUUUGAGUGCUCAAAGGGGGCCACUGGGCCUGUAAAUUCUUGCAUGGAAUAAUGGAAUAGGACUUCGGUUCUAUUUUGUUGGUUUUCGGAUCCGAAGUAAUGGUUAAGAGGGACAGACGGGGGCAUUUGUAUGGCGGUGUUAGAGGUGAAAUUCUUGGAUCGCCGCCAGACAAACUACAGCGAAAGCAUUUGCCAAGGAUGUUUUCAUUGAUCUGGAGCGAAAAGUCAGAGGUUCGAAAGACGAUCAGAUACCGUCCUAGUUCUGACCAUAAACGAUGCCAACUGACGAUCCGUGGUGGUUUAUUGAUUGUCCCCACGGGCAGUCCCCGGGAAACCCUUAAGUCUUUGGGCUCCGGGGGAAGUAUGGUUGCAAAGCUGAAACUUAAAGGAAUUGACGGAAGGGCACCACCAGGAGUGGAGCCUGCGGCUUAAUUCGACUCAACACGGGAAAACUCACCCGGCCCGGACACUGUGAGGAUUGACAGAUUGAUAGCUCUUUCUUGAUUCGGUGGUUGGUGGUGCAUGGCCGUUCUUAGUUGGUGGAGCGAUUUGUCUGGUUAAUUCCGAUAACGAACGAGACUUUGGCCUGCUAAAUAGAGUGCCUGUCCCCUGUGCCUGUCCAGAUUGCGUUCUUUGUUGCUCUUCGGGGUAAUGGGAUCGUUUAUCGGCGGGUGCUAUGCGGGUAUAUACUUCUUAGAGGGACAAGCGGCGAAAGAGUCGCACGAAAAUGAGCAAUAACAGGUCUGUGAUGCCCUUAGAUGUCCGGGGCCGCACGUGCGCUACAAUGACGGUUCCAAAUAGUAUGCAAACCUGGCUUGAAAAGGUUGGGUAAACUGUAUCAUAACCGUCGUGACUGGGAUCGGGGCUUGCAAUUGUUCCCCGUGAACGAGGAAUUCCUGGUAAGUGCAAGUCAUUAACUUGCGCUGAUUACGUCCCUGCCCUUUGUACACACCGCCCGUCGCUACUACCGAUUGAAUGGUUUAGCAAGGUCAUCGGAUUGGUGCCAUUGUAGUUGUUCCAACUCGAACGGUGCUGAGAAGACGACCGAACUUGAUCAUUUAGAGGAAGUAAAAGUC
rnacentral:sRNA from 1 species